CUGCCUUUUCACUUCCUUUUGUGUGUGUGAGUGUAGCAGGGUAAAUGAUCCUACUUGCCAUUACUUACCAAUGGUUGUAAUUACCAGUAAUAAUAUACUCUUCGCCUGUCUCCCCGUGUACCUACCUGCCUUCUGUCCCCGACCACGUGUUCCGAUUCGGCGUUCCGGAAAUCUGACGGCUCCACUGGCAAAGACCUCACCGCUCGACCACGACGAUCCUCCUGCCUGCUCCCCGACGGUACCGUUGUUUCUUCGGACUGUUUUCCCAGCAACGGAUCUUCUGCCUGCCCCCGACCAAUCCUCAGCGCAAUCCCCGACAACAUUCCCACACGUGUUGUCGGCUCGUCGAGCUACGGGGUUUCCUGCUCUCCAGCCACAUUCUUAGACAUGGAUUAUUUUGUUCGUGACAGAUUAAUUGAAUGGAAUCUCAGCAACUUUAUAAACACAUUUCAAG